rnacentral:rRNA from 1 species
UACGUAGGUGGCAAGCGUUGUCCGGAUUUACUGGGCGUAAAGAGCGCGCAGGCGGUCGUUCAAGUCGCGUGUGAAAGCCCCCGGCUCAACUGGGGAGGGUCACGCGAUACUGAUCGACUGGAAGGCAGGAGAGGGUAGUGGAAUUCCCGGUGUAGUGGUGAAAUGCGUAGAUAUCGGGAGGAACACCAGUGGCGAAGGCGGCUACCUGGACCAGCACUGACACUGAGGCACGAAAGCGUGGGGAGCAAACAGG